CUACGGGAUGCACCAGUGGGGAAUAUUGGACAAUGGGGGAAACUCUGAUGCAGCAACGCCGCGUGGAGGAUGACACUUUUCGGAGCGUAAACUCCUUUUAUAUAGGAAGAAGAUGACGGUACUAUAUGAAUAAGCGCCGGCUAACUCCGUGCCAGCAGCCGCGGUAAUACGGAGGGCGCAAGCGUUACUCGGAAUCACUGGGCGUAAAGAGCGUGUAGGCGGAUUAAAAAGUCAGAAGUGAAAUCCUAUAGCUUAACUAUAGAACUGCUUCUGAAACUCUUAAUCUAGAAUAUGGGAGAGGUAGAUGGAAUUUCUGGUGUAGGGGUAAAAUCCGUAGAGAUCAGAAGGAAUACCGAUUGCGAAGGCGAUCUACUAGAACAUUAUUGACGCUGAGACGCGAAAGCGUGGGGAGCAAACAGGAUUAGAUACCCUGGUAGUC
rnacentral:rRNA from 1 species